rnacentral:rRNA from 1 species
GAUGUUCAUUGGCCGGGUGUGUAAGCGCAGCGAUGCGUUGAGCUAACCGGUACUAAUGAACCGUGAGGCUUAACCUUACAACGCCGAAG